rnacentral:lncRNA from 1 species
GGUGUAUUUCUAUCAGAGUGCUUAUUUAUUCCUUCUUUAAAAGUUGGAUUAAAUGCACACAGAUGAAAGACAAAAUGCCCAGAAUAACCACUAAUUUACUUUUAAGGAAAUUAAAAAAUGAUGAUGUUUAUGGUGUAAAGAAUAGUGAUAAAAGAUAGGAGAGCACACUGAAAAUAUUUUUUGGGAAAUAUAAUUAUUAGUCUUAAUUAGCUUAAUGAGUCACAGUUGUUUAUAAGGAGAAAGAACAGAUCUUUGGAGGAGAAAUUAGAGGAAUUAGCUAGAAACUUUAGGUGGAAUGUAUUAUUUCAAACUUCUGAAAAAGUUAAAACCAAUUAAUUUUCUUUCUUUUGUCUUUACUUCCUUUCCUGAUAAAAUAACUAAGACAUUGCCUCCUAUUAGCUCCAAUAUCACUUUUCAAUGUAUUAGAUAUGCAUGCAUUAGACUUACUAUUUAUCACUUCCAUUCAAUAUUUGCACAUCAGGUUCACCUAAUUUUAAAUCAUAAUUACUACAGUAGUAAAAUUACCAGAUUUUAGAAAAACCAGUAAGUUCAUGGAGCCUAAAUCUGCUGAACUUAUUUUUUUCUUUAAAAUGAGGGAUAAGCUAGGUUUUCAACUGCACUGUUUACUUAGGACAUCUCCUAGAGAAGUUAGAGAUGGUGUUGUGAUUAUAUAUUGUUAAUUAUGGCUCACAUGAAUUCUCUCUGAUUUACCUUUGAAUUUUAUUUGUGUUGCAAGCUCGUUAUCAUAUUUUCCAAGGUGCCUUGACUACUUUUCUGAUAGCAUCAUAUUCUAGUACAUCUCACCACUUCCAACUUACUAAGCUAUUAUGCUAGCUUUCUCUUUGAUCUUUCAAAUGUGAAAUAAACUGCUUCAUUAUAAAUCACAGGGCUUUUAUGCUUGCAUUUAAAAAAUUCUUGAACACUCUUUCUUCAGGUCUUGCAAUGGCUACCUUAAUCUCAUUAGAAUAAACACUCAUGUCGCUUCCUCGAGAAGGCCUUUUCCCAAUUGUUCUUGUUAAAGUAUAUAUAUUUUUCUCAUUCCCGCCAGAAGCUGUAUCACAUUAUUCUGUUUUCUUCACAGGGUACGUAAUGUGUAAGGUUUAUACCUUCAGAAAUAAUGCAUUUUAAUAGUGAAGAACAGUUUUAAAUUAAAGGACUGAAGCUACAGCAGCCAAGUUUUGUACCUCAGUGAUCUAAAGGGUGAAGGGUAAAUCUUAGAAUUUGUGAAUUCAUAACUUAUAAAUGCCUUAUAAAUGCUAGGUUUGGGGAUGACACAUCUUAUCUUGAUCAUAACUGAAUAUAUGUAUUAAUGGGAGUUCUCAAAAGUGAUAAAGCAGUUUGAAUUAAUGGAAAAAUGUGGAAACUAGAGCUAGAAACACAUUUUAUAGCAAAUUUAGAAGUGAGGCGUAUUUAGUUUUGAACGUGGAUGACUGAGAAUUAAAGGCAUAGUUAUAGCGUCAUCACCACUAGCAGGGUAACUUUGAGGCAGUCUUUUUUACCUGUUCCAGCUUCAAUUUACUCAUCUGUAAAAUUGAGCCUCUUAUCUCAGCAAGAAUUGUGUAAGGUAUCUAAGGCAGACUUUGAGAAGUAGUCAAGCAUGGUUUUGAAAGUAUGUUCUUUAGAGCUAAAAUCUAGUGCUACUUACUUUCCAGCUAUAUGAUCCUGGGUUAGUUACUUGGUCUCUCUGAAUAUCAAGUAGACAUCCAGCUUUUCUAACACAAUUUAUUGCACAGUCCAACAUUUCCCAGUGACUUGAAAUGCUACCGUUUAUUAUACAUUCAUUUCUCAAAUAUACAAAAAUCUGUUUCUCGAUUCUUUAUUCUUCUUUGUUUUAUUUAUCUGUUUUGGAGCCAGUAUCAGAGUUUUCAAAUUUUCAAACAUUAAAUGGCUUUUUUUGUACCUUUGUUUUUCUGGUUUGAUGAUUAUAUAAAUCCCUCAAAUUUUCUCUCUAUACAAUUACCAAGACUCCAUGAAUUUAUGAUUUUGUUUGUAAUUGCAUUAAAUGUACAGAUUAACAGGAGGAUAACUGAUAUGUUUAUAAUAUUGUCAUUAAAAGUUUGAUGUGUCAUUUAUUUAGAUCUUCUAUUGAGUUGAUAGUAUAGAUUUUUAUGUAAGUCUUUCUCAUUUUUCAUUAGGUUUACUGCUGAGGAUUUUAUGGUUUUCCCUAUAUUAUUAUGAUUUUUUUUCCUCCCUUUCUUUAGGACUGGAAACCUAUUGAUUUUUGUAUAUUAUUUCUGGCAAACAGACUGAACUGUUAUAUUAGUUCUAAUAGUUUUCCAGUUAAUGUUUAGGGUCUUUCUGUGUAGAUAAUCAUAAUAUCUGUAAAUAAUGAUUUUUUCUUCAUAUCCAAUAUUUAUUUAUAUUUAUUUUGGGAGAUAAUUGAAUUUCCUGUAUUAUGUAUGACAGUGGGGUGUCAGCACCAUGCGGGACUGUGGUGAGCAUUGGUAACAAUCAGUAUAAAAUAUUUGAUAUACUAUAGGAAUUCGGUAAAUGUAACUGUUCAGUAUUUUUUCAGUACUGUCCAUGACUUAUAAAGUUACUAAUUAUACUAAAUUCAAAAAAAUCAAUUUGAAUAGUUUACUUUCAAAUAUAUGCUAUUUCCAGGAGCUUGACAAUUGCAUUCUAUAAGAAAAUUAUUGCGUAUUUCUCUCAUAAUUAUUGUUGUUUAAAUGUGCUUUAAAAUGUGGAAUUCCCAUUAUGGUGCAGUGGAAAUGAAUCCAGCUAGUAUCCAUGAGAAUGCAGGUUCAGUCUCUGGCCUUGCUCAGUGUGUUGGGGAUCUGGCGUUGCCGUGAACUGUGGUGUAGGUCACAGACAUGGCGUGGAUCCCAUGUUGCUCUGGCCUAGGCUGUCAGCUGAAGCUCCAGUUCAACCCCUAGCCUGGGAAUUUCCAUAUGCCAUGGGUGGGGUGCAGAUUUAAAAAAUAAUUAAUUAAUUAAUUAAAAGAAAUUACAUUAAAAAAUAAAAAUGUGGCACAAGUGACUGAAACAGUUAUAGCAUGAUUAAUAACAAAGUCUUAGGUCUUAAUUAAGUCUUUACUGACCUAUGGUUACGCCAACCCUUUUUUUUUUAAACAGGAAAGAAGUGUUCAGUAAAAAUACAUAAAAGUUUAGCAAACCACUGUGUUACCAUUCUCUCCUAAAGAAAAUUACAUGGAAUGGAAGGCAGGAUUUUCUGUUCUUCAUAUAAUAGAGGUUCAGGCUGAACAAUUUCUACUGGACUGCAUCAUUACUUAUGAAAUAUCUACUAAUAGGGAAAUAUUUAAAUAAAUUUGAUAUCUUACCUCAAUGUAAUAUUAUAUAGCCAUUAACAUAGAAUUUGUGAAAAACUGCACAUAAGUAAAGAAAAUGUGAAUGAUAAGUAAU